rnacentral:rRNA from 1 species
GACGAACGCUGGCGGCGUGCUUAACACAUGCAAGUCGAACGGAAAGGCCCUGCUUUUGUGGGGUGCUCGAGUGGCGAACGGGUGAGUAACACGUGAGUAACCUGCCCUUGACUUUGGGAUAACUUCAGGAAACUGGGGCUAAUACCGGAUAGGAGCUCCUGCUGCAUGGUGGGGGUUGGAAAGUUUCGGCGGUUGGGGAUGGACUCGCGGCUUAUCAGCUUGCUGGGGGGGUAGUGGAUUACCAAGGCUUUGAAGGGUAGCCGGCCUGGGAGGGUGACCGGCCACAGUGGGACUGGGAUACGGCCCAGACUCCUACGUGCGGCAGGAGUGGGGAAUAUUGCGCACUGGGCGGAAGCCGGAAGCAGCAACGCCGCGUGCGGGAUGACGGCUUUCGGGUUGUAAACCGCUUUCGCCUGUGACGAAGCGUGAGGGACGGUAAUGGGUAAAGAAGCACCGGCUAACUACGG